rnacentral:rRNA from 1 species
CGUACACUCCUGCGGGAGGCAGCAGUGGGGAAUAUUGGACAAUGGGCGCAAGCCUGAUCCAGCCAUGCCGCGUGAGUGAUGAAGGCCCUAGGGUUGUAAAGCUCUUUUGUGCGGGAAGAUAAUGACGGUACCGCAAGAAUAAGCCCCGGCUAACUUCGUGCCAGCAGCCGCGGUAAUACGAAGGGGGCUAGCGUUGCUCGGAAUCACUGGGCGUAAAGGGUGCGUAGGCGGGUCUUUAAGUCAGGGGUGAAAUCCUGGAGCUCAACUCCAGAACUGCCUUUGAUACUGAAGAUCUUGAGUUCGGGAGAGGUGAGUGGAACUGCGAGUGUAGAGGUGAAAUUCGUAGAUAUUCGCAAGAACACCAGUGGCGAAGGCGGCUCACUGGCCCGAUACUGACGCUGAGGCACGAAAGCGUGGGGAGCAAACAGGAUUAGAAACCCCGGUAGUCCC